rnacentral:rRNA from 1 species
UGGGGAAUAUUGCACAAUGGGGGAAACCCUGAUGCAGCGACGCCGCGUGAACGAAGAAGGUAUUCGUAUCGUAAAGUUCUGUCCUAUGGGAAGAUAAUGACAGUACCAUAGAAGAAAGCUCCGGCUAAAUACGUGCCAGCAGCCGCGGUAAUACGUAUGGAGCGAGCGUUGUCCGGAAUUAUUGGGCGUAAAGCGAGCGCAGGCGGUUAGAUAAGACUGAAGUGAAAGGCAGUGGCUCAACCAUUGUAGGCUUUGGAAACUGUUUAACUUGAGUGCAGAAGGGGAGAGUGGAAUUCCAUGUGUAGCGGUGAAAUGCGUAGAUAUAUGGAGGAACACCGGUGGCGAAAGCGGCUCUCUGGUCUGUAACUGACGCUGAGGCUCGAAAGCGUGGGGAGCGAACAGG